UACAGAGGGUGCAAGCGUUAAUCGGAUUUACUGGGCGUAAAGCGCGCGUAGGUGGCCAAUUAAGUCAAAUGUGAAAUCCCCGAGCUUAACUUGGGAAUUGCAUUCGAUACUGGUUGGCGAGAGUAUGGGAGAGGAUGGUAGAAUUCCAGGUGUAGCGGUGAAAUGCGUAGAGAUCUGGAGGAAUACCGAUGGCGAAGGCAGCCAUCUGGCCUAAUACUGACACUGAGGUGCGAAAGCAUGGGGAGCAAACAGG
rnacentral:rRNA from 1 species